rnacentral:rRNA from 1 species
AGUGAACGCUGGCGGUAGGCCUAACACAUGCAAGUCGAACGGCAGCACAGGAGAGCUUGCUCUCUGGGUGGCGAGUGGCGGACGGGUGAGGAAUACAUCGGAAUCUACUUUUUCGUGGGGGAUAACGUAGGGAAACUUACGCUAAUACCGCAUACGACCUACGGGUGAAAGCAGGGGAUCUUCGGACCUUGCGCGAUUGAAUGAGCCGAUGUCGGAUUAGCUAGUUGGCGGGGUAAAGGCCCACCAAGGCGACGAUCCGUAGCUGGUCUGGGAGGAUGAUCAGCCACACUGGAACUGAGACACGGUCCAGACUCCUACGGGAGGCAGCAGUGGGGAAUAUUGGACAAUGGGCGCAAGCCUGAUCCAGCCAUACCGCGUGGGUGAAGAAGGCCUUCGGGUUGUAAAGCCCUUUUGUUGGGAAAGAAAUCCAGCUGGCUGAUACCCGGUUGGGAUGACGGUACCCAAAGAAUAAGCACCGGCUAACUUCGUGCCAGCCGCCGCCGUAA